CAUAGUUCUGCCAUCUAUUUAUAAUGAUUUAAUUGACAACUGGAAGUCACAAAGAGGAGAGAUUCCUAAUAUGUCACCUCCUUGGAGAAACUUUUCUGAGUUUGAAUGUCCAGAGGGCAAAUUCAAACAGUCUAUGAGCCCCAGAUUACCAGAGAGAGUUGAGGGAGAAACUGCUUGCUUUGGAUGGCUGGACAGGAGGUGGGACAUGCAAAAAAUAUUCUCGGACCCUGGGAAGAAGGGGAACAGAGGCCCUUGGGAGUAUUGUUUUGUAUGGAUACCAUGUCUUCACCAAUGCUGGGGGUUUGAAGCCUUUAUUGCUUAGCCUGUUACAAAUGAAAUUAGAUGGGCAUUUGAUAGUUGUGCCCACCCUCAUUAGCAAAAUAUAUAUUGGUCAUUGUAAUCUUUAAUGCUUUAUUCUGUUUUAGAUGUCAUCUUAAGCUUUUCCCUACUUUGUGCAAAUUGAGAGUCACUGUAUUAAUUCUUUGUGUUUUGUAAAAAUCCAUAAGGAUUCACCCUGAGAAAAGGAGAAGAAAGGAAGUUCCACACUCCAUGGUGGUUGGCUUAAUUCUUUGGAGCCUGUAAUGUAAUUUUCAUUGUCUGAAGAGAUGUUUGGGGCUUAGAUUUGUAUGGACUCUGCCACUAAUGUGGUCUGUUCCAGAAUUUAGUGGUAGAGGAGAUGACUUCACAUCCAGUUGGAAUGGGAGAAUUUUUAGCUGUGGUAAAGUCAAGUCUUAACUUAGUAGGAAAGCCUGUCCACCCUAUGCUGUACUAGAGGUUUAGAGCACAACCAUUAUGUGAGGGUAGCCCUAGGCACUUUGACAAUUAUAACAGAAUUAAAAAUGUUUAUAUUAUAAGGGUUAGUACUUUAUUACAUCUUUUUGACUCCUUCUUAAACUUUGGGAUAGAUUUUAAACUGUCUUUGAGGAGAAAAUACUAGUAGAAAGGAAAUGUUAAAUGAAAUGGAAAUUUUUUUACUUUUCCUGGGAAAUUUCUUGAAAAAUUUUAUUUGCUAGCUAAUUUAUUGCAAUCAUUUGAGAGCCUUGAAUCACUGAAGGCCUGACAAAUUGUUUUGUUUGGACAGUCAGUAUUGGUGAGGAAAGAUGAGAAGAACUGUACAUGUUUAUCUGCAGUGUGAAAUAUGUCCCCAGUCUCUUAGUUAUGUUUGUAUGUUUUCCUAAUAGGUGGAGGAUUUUCCUUGCCAGCCAGGGCCAGAGCUAAGUGUUUGCAAGAAAAGAUUUCCCCCACCUGGAGAAUUCUGAGAGACAUCUAUAGUGACAGAUGAACCAUUUCACAAGUUCAAUUGUUUCUCAGCUGUUGACUGUUUAGAGAUCCAUCCUUGGAUCAGUCUACCUUAUAUUUGGAACUUUGGGCCUGAGUCUAUUGGAAAAGACACAUGCAUAAGGAUGCCCUGAAGCCUGGGGGGAAAGGACCUUGCCAAAUCAUCCCAACACUGCAAAACUAAAGAGAGUUGACAGCUGAUGCAUCUAUCUCGGCUAAAGAAGUCUCCAACUCUGAGAGGAUAGCCCAUUCCCCUACAGGAUAUUUGAAGCUCUGUCUGAUCCAGAAAAAAAAAAGAAGAAGAAGCAUAUGACAGCAAUGGACUCUCCCAAGGCUUUGGACAUAGGCUGAUUAUCCUGUGUUAUGGUCCCUUCCUCAGAGAAUUUUCUUAGUAUCCUACCUUGGUCAAAGUGCCUUUAAGGUUGACAGAUGUUUAAGCCUGAGAACUAUGAAAUAAGGGCUAGCCUCACUUCUAACUAGAGCGGAGAAGUUUUAAAAUAAGUAUUUUAUUAAGGGGCAAAUAUAUUAUAACAGGUGAAUAUUAAUGUUAAUCUGACGUGUUGUUUCUCUAAAUUUUUGGGUAAGUUAUCAUGCAUUCAUUAUCUACGUAGAAUUCCAGAAUGUAAUUUUCAUUAUUUCUGAUGUAGAUACCUAUAUCAGGAUGAGCUUAGACUCUAGGAAAAGGAUUUUGAGACCUGGUACUUAACUGUAGAUAAAUGGAUAUUGAUAUAGGAACAUGAGGGUUAUUUAUAGCCAGCCCUAAGCAUGAUUAGUGAAAUUUGCUAUUUAAGGUUGAAUCUUAUAGGAUUAGAAUUGAUAUUGUUCUGAGUAUUGUCAAGAAAUGCUAUUGAGCCAAUGAUCUAUAAUGCCAGCAGCCUUAUUGGAGUGACAUCUAUGAACUAAAGAUGAAAUUCUGUCUCAAGAAAAGAAUAAUUAUUGUCAUGGGCUAGGGUAGGAUUCUCUUUAUUUGAUUUCCCCAAUAUGAUAUUUCCUCUUUAAUGGACAAUUUUCCCACCUGGUUCAUUCUAAGCCUGGUUGUGCAAUAUUGCUGGCCCCCAUGUGGAAUUGAUAUGUCAAGCUAGGGGAGUAUUUCUAUAGCUAUAUGUUCCUCUUUUCCUUUCAUGGCAAAUUUCUAAAAUCAGUAUGGGUGAUCAGUCUUUAAUAUGCUAAUGCUGGAACACAUUGAAGCUACUGUAAUGAUAUAAAGGUGAUUAAGACUAGCUAUUCAAAUUGCCAAGUAGAUGAAUAUUUGGGUUUGUCAUCUGCUACUAGUUUAUAAAUUCAUAUGUAACAAAGUGUCCUUGAAAUAUCUAAGUGUUGGGGUCAGCUAAGUGGCCCAGUAUAUUGAGAGCCAGGCCUGGAGAAGGGAGGUCCUGGGUUCAAAUCUGACCUCAGCCACUUCCUAGCUGUGUGACCCUGGGCAAGUCACUUGACUCCCAUUUCCUUGCCCUUACCACUCUUCUGCCUUGGAACCAAUAACCAGUAUUGAUUAGAAGUCAGAAGGUAAGAGUUAAAAAAAAAGAAA